rnacentral:lncRNA from 1 species
CCCAACGCUUCUGGGUUGGAAGCGCUGAAUACAUGGAGAUUGGUGCCACAGACAUUUACUAACUUGCAUGCUAGAAGGACUAAGGAAAAGUAGGAAGAAGCCUAUACAUUAUUCAAUGGUGUCCACUAUCACACAGGGAAAGGAAGAAAAUCCUACUGCCUUUCUGGAGAGACUAAGGGAGGCAUUGAGGAAGCAUACCACUCUGUCACCGGACUCUAUUGAAGGCCAACUAAUCUUAAAGGAUAAGUUUAUCACUCAGUUAGCUGCAGACAUUAGAAAAAACAUCAAAAGUCCACCUUAGGCCCGGAGCAAAACUUAGGAACCCUAUUGAUUUCACAACCUCGGUUUUUUAUAAUAGAGAUCAGGAGGAGCAGGAGGAAGGGGACAAAUGAGAUAAGAAAAAGGCCACCGCUUUAGUCAUGGCCCUUAGGCAAGCAGACAUUGGAGGCUUUGGAACACGGAAAGUCUGGGCAAAUUGAAUGCCUAAUAGGACUUGCUUCCAGUGUGGUCUACAAGGACACUUUUAAAAAGAUUGUCAGAAUAGAAGUAAGCCGCCUCCUCAUCCGUGCCCCUUAUGUCAAGGGACUCAAUGGAAGGCCGCUGCCCCAGGGGACAAAGGUCCUCUGAGUCAGAAGCCACUAACCCGAUGAUCCAGCAGCAGGACUGAGGGUGCCCAGGGCAAGUGCCAGCCCAUGCCAUCACCCUCACAGAGCCCCAGGUAUGCUUGAUCAUUGAGGGCCAGGAGAUUAACUGUCUCCUGGACAUUGACGUGGCCUUCUCAGUCUUACUCUCCUGUCCCAGACAACCGUCCUCCAGAUCUGUCACUAUCCGAGGGGUCCUAAUGUGUCUGGUUGGUGGGUUCUUGGUCUCACUGACUUCAAGAAUGAAGCCGCAGACCCUCGCGGUGAGUGUUACAGUUCUUAAAGGCAGCGUGUCCAGAGUUUGUUCCUUCUGAUGUUUGGAUGUGUUUGGAGUUUCUUCCUUCUGGUGGGGUUCAUGGUCUCGCUGGCUCAGGAGUGAAGCUGCGGACCUUUGCGGUGAGUGUUACAGCUCUUAAGGCAGUGCAUCUGGAGGUGUUUGUUCCUCCCGGUGGGUUUGUGGUCUUGCUGGCUUCAGGAGUAAAGCUGCAGACCUUCGCCGUGAGUGUUACAGCUCAUAAAGGCAGUGUGGACCCAAAGAGUGAGCAGCAGCA